rnacentral:rRNA from 1 species
UACAGAGGGUGCGAGCGUUAAUCGGAAUUACUGGGCGUAAAGCGCGCGUAGGCGGCUUUGCAAGUCGGGUGUGAAAUCCCCAGGCUCAACCUGGGAACUGCAUUCGAGACUGCAUUGCUAGAGUAUGGGAGAGGGAAGUGGAAUUUCCGGUGUAGCGGUGAAAUGCGUAGAUAUCGGAAGGAACAUCAGUGGCGAAAGCGACUCCUGGACCAAUACUGACGCUCAUGUGCGAAAGCGUGGGGAGCAAACAGG